GACGAGGUGGUUCAUCCGGUAGAACGGCGGACUGUUAAUCCGUGAGCGAAAGCUCUAUGUGGGUUCGAGUCCCACCCUCGUCGCCA
rnacentral:tRNA from 3 species